rnacentral:misc_RNA from 1 species
CUGGCUCUCUACAUGUGUGCAUGUGCACGUCCUUGCUAUCUCUGUCGACCUUUCAACAUACACACACCUGUGCACCUAUUGUAGGUCCUUGAAAGAGGAUCUAUGUAUUUUCACUUCACAACCCUAUCGUAUGUCCAUAUAAUGUUAUCUCAAAGACCUUCCGAGCUUGAUUGAUCGGUCGGUCAAUGAAAUAAAAAUCAUAUACAACUUUCAUCAACGGAUCUCUUGGCUCUCGCAUCGAUGAACAACGCACCGAAUUGCGAUAAAUAAUGUGAAUUGCAGAUUUCCAGUGAAUCAUCGAAUCUUUGAACGCACCUUGCGCUCCUUGAUAUUCCGAGGAGCAUGCCUGUUUGAGUGUCAUUUAAUUCUCAACCAUGUCUUCAUUGACUUGGCUUGGAGUUGGGGGUUUGCUGGCGGUGUUCUCUAUCAUCAGCUCUCCUGAAAUGCAUUCGUGAU